CACCGCCCGUCACACUAUAGGAGCUGGCCAUGUUUGAAGUCAUUACCCUUAACCGUAAGGAGGGGGAUGCCUAAGGCUAGGCUUGCGACUGGAGUGAAGUCGUAACAAGGUAGCCGUACUGGAAGGUGCUGCUG
rnacentral:ncRNA from 1 species